rnacentral:misc_RNA from 1 species
AAAAAGAGGAAAGUGGGAGCUGUGAGGGACAGAGACAAGGAAAUAUCUUUUUUUGUAAUUUUUAUUUUCCUUUUUCUCUUCUCUUCUAUCGCAAGAAGAAGCAGAGAGAUAGUCUAUAGGCAGAGAAGAGAUCGUUGUAGUUCAUAGCUAAAGAAGCAUCUGAGAGAUAGAGAUGAGAGAAAUAAUAAGCAUACACAUUGGACAAGCGGGAAUUCAGGUGGGAAACUCAUGCUGGGAGCUUUACUGCCUGGAGCAUGGCAUCCAUCCAGAUGGCAUGAUGCCCAGUGACACUUCAGUGGGUGUUGCAAAUGAUGCUUUCAAUACCUUCUUCAGUGAGACU